GAUCCUGGCUCCGGACGAACGCUGGCGGCGUGCUUAACACAUGCAAGUCGAACGAAGAGCGAUGGAAGCUUGCUUCUAUCAAUCUUAGUGGCGAACGGGUGAGUAACGCGUAAUCAACCUGCCCUUCAGAGGGGGACAACAGUUGGAAACGACUGCUAAUACCGCAUACGAUCUAAUCUCGGCAUCGAGGAUGGAUGAAAGGUGGCCUCUAUUUAUAAGCUAUCACUGAAGGAGGGGA
rnacentral:rRNA from 1 species